rnacentral:rRNA from 1 species
ACGCCGACACCUACGGGAGCAGCAGUGGGGAAUAUUGCACAAUGGGGGGAACCCUGAUGCAGCGACGCCGCGUGAGGGAAGAAGGUUUUCGGAUUGUAAACCUCUGUCCUUGGUGACGAUAAUGACGGUAGCCAAGGAGGAAGCCACGGCUAACUACGUGCUAGCAGCCGCGGUAAUCUGAGCGGGCUGGCAAGGC